rnacentral:rRNA from 1 species
AAACAACUCGUUUGUGUCUCACUUUCGUUCAGCACGAGCUCAAAUGCAAAGCGCAAAAAUCAAGAUGCAAAAUGAAAAAUCAAAAUUCAAAAAAGAAUUAAAACCUAAAAAGAAUUCUUUUUGACUUUACCUUCUUUUUAUAUUUUGCAUUACAUUUUGAUUUUUGAUAUUUAAUUUUUGAUUUUGAGUGAGUGGCGAGCGGAAGCGAGACACGAGCGAAUAUUCCCUGAGUAGCGGCGAGCGAAAAGGGAACAGCCCAAACCCGUUUUUAUCCUUUGGAUAAAGCGGGGGUUGGAGGAUGGUCGCGGGGAUUUACCCGGGAAGUUAAAAAAUCUUUAGUUAGUCGAAUCUUGCUGGAAAGCAAAGCCAAAGAAGGUGAAAGCCCUGUAGGCGAAAACUAAAGAUCUUCCUGGCGGCUAUUCCUGAGUACGGCGGAGAAUGAGAACUCUGUCGGAAGCAGGCAGGACUACCUGCCAAGGCUAAAUACUCAACAUCACCGAUAGUGAACUAGUACCGUGAGGGAAAGGUGAAAAGUAGCCCGGUGAGGGCGGUGAAAUAGACCUGAAACCACUUGCUAACAAAGAACCGGAGCCUCAUUUUUGAGGUGACGGUGUGCUUUUUGUAGAACGAUCCAACGAGUUCUGGUAUUUUCCUUGUCUAAGCUCUACGGAGUGGAGGCAAAGGGAAACCGAGUGUGAAUAGCGCGUUUUGGAGAAUGCCAGAGACCCGAAGCCAGGCGAGCUUACCAUGAGCAGGGUGAAUCCCGAUGAAAAUCGGGAAGAGGCCCGCACCCGUGCGCCGUGCAAUACGCUGGGAUGACUUGUGGUAAGGAGUGAAAAGCUAAACGAGCCUGGUAAUAGCUGGUUCUCCCCGAAAUAGCUUUAGGGUUAGCCUUUGGUGUUUUCUUCCGGAGGUAGAGCGCUGGCUGGGUGGGGGUGGCUUUUGCCUACUCCGUCCAAUCAAACUCCGAAUGCCGGAAGGUUAUAGCCAAGGAGUUAGACUGUGGGGGCUAAGCUCCAUGGUCGAAAGGGAAACAGCCCAGACCACCAUCUAAGGUCCCUAAAUCAAGCUCAGUGUGAUAAGGAGGUAGGGUUUCUCUGACGGUUAGGAGGUUGGCUUAGAAGCAGCCAUCCUUCAAAGAGUGCGUAAUAGCUCACUAUCUUAGAGAUUCCGCGCCGAAGAUGUAGGGGGCUAAGCUUGAUACCGAAGAUGUGGUACUUUAUCUUUUAGAUAAAGUAGGUAGGGGAGCAUCUCUUAUCCACUGAAGUUCUGUCGCGAGGCAGGAUGGAGGAUAAGGGAGAGAGAAUGUUGGAAUGAGUAACCGCAAUUCCGAUGAGAUAUCGGAACGCCGCAAGCCCAAGGUUUCCUUGGCAAUGACAAUCAGUCAAGGGUUAGGCGGUCCUUAGGUAAACCCGAUUUUGGUCGAGGUUAGCUGAUGGACAUCUGGUUAAUAUUCCAGUCCUCUGAUAUUUUUCUGAUGGGGUGACGAAGGGUUGUAAGUUAAGCCCAUUAUUGGAUUUGGGUUGAUGUCUUGAGGGUCUUCAAUAGGCAAAUCCGUUGAAGCGGUUUAAAUACCAAGCCCAAGAGAAGUCAAAAUUCUUGGUUACGGCCAAGAAAAUUUAGCUGAGCGCCCUUCCAAGAAAAACCUCUAGGGUUAAGAAUAUCGGAACCGUACCGAAAACCAACACAGGUGGGCGAGGCGAGUAGCCUCAGGCGAACGAGUGAUUCCUCGUCAAGGAACUCGGCAAAACAGCUGGGCGUAACUUCGGGAGAUGCCCUCCCCGAUAUUGUCCUUUGGGCAAGGUCGGGGCGCAGUAAAAGAUCCCUAGCGACUGUUUACUAAAAACACAGGUCCCUGCUAACUCGUAAGAGGAUGUAUAGGGGCUGACGCCUGACCAGUGCCGGAAGGUUAAGGCUGGGGGUGUAGUGUGGCUUUGGCUGCGCUAUGCUCACUGGUUGAAGCCCCGGUGAACGUCGGCGGUAACUAUAACCGUCUUAAAGUAGCGAAAUUCCUUGUCUGGUAAUUUCAGACCCGCAUGAAAGGCGUCACGACUGGGGAACUGUCUCGACGAGGAGCUCGGUGAAAAUGCAGUGCUGGUAAAGAUGCCGGCUACCGGCGACAAGACGAAAAGACCCCGGGAACUUUACUAUAGCUUGGUAUUGGGCUUGGUUCUUGAAUGCGUAGCGUAGCGGGGAGACUAUGAAUCCCGACUUCCGGGUCGGGAGGAGUCGCCAAUGAAACACCCGCUUUUCAAGGGCUUUGUUCUAACUCGGCUUAUUGAAGAGAUAAGCUGAAGACGGUGCCAGGUGGGUAGUUUGAGUGGGAUGCUCGCCUCUAAAAGAGUAACGGAGGCGUUUAUAAGGUUGGCUUAGUUCCGAUGGAAACGGAACUGAAAGUGUAAAGGCAGAAGCCAGCUUUACUGCAAGGCGGAUAAGCCGCGCAGUCACGAAAGUGGAACUUAGUGAACCGACCAUUCGUUGUAGAAAGGUGGAAGAUUAACAGAUAAAAGUUACCCCGGGGAUAACAGGUUGGUAGAGCCCGAGAGUUCACAUCGACGGCUCUGUUCGGCACCUCGAUGUCGGCUUGUCCUAUCCUGGAGGUGGAGAAGCUUCCAAGGGUUUGGCUGUUCGCCAAUUAAAAGGGCACGCGAGCUGGGUUUAAACCGUCGUGAGACAGGUUGGUCUCCUAUCUGUCGUCGGCGUUGAUGCUUGAGGGAAGUUCUUCCUAGUACGAGAGGACCGGAAGGAACCGACCUCUGGUCUACCAGUUGUCCCGCCAGGGGCAUUGCUGGGUAGCUAUGUCGGGAACUGAUAAGCGCUGAAAGCAUCUAAGCGCGAAGCAGGUCCCAAGAUUAGGCAUCGUCGGCCCGUUGAAGAUGACAACGUUGAUAGGCCCUAGGUGUAAGCGCUGUAAGGCGUUGAGCCGAGGGGUACUAAUCGGCCAUUGCUCGGUAGAAU